rnacentral:rRNA from 1 species
GUUUGAUCCUGGCUCAGGACAAACGCUGGCGGCGUGCUUAACACAUGCAAGUCGAACGAGGUGUAUUUGGGGGGCAACCCCUGGAUGCACUUAGUGGCGAACGGGUGAGUAACACGUGGGUAACCUGCCCUCAAGACCGGGAUAACUUGCCGAAAGGCGGGCUAAUACCGGAUGCCGUGCCGGGGUGAAAUUUCCCGGCAUGAAAGGAUGGCGCAAGCUAUCGCUUGAGGAUGGGCCCGCGGCUGAUUAGCUAGUUGGUGAGGUAACGGCCCACCAAGGCGACGAUCAGUAGCCGGCCUGAGAGGGUGUACGACCACACUGGAACUGAGACACGGUCCAGACUCCUAUGGGAGGCAGCAGUGGGGAAUCUUCCACAAUGGGCGAAAGCCUGAUGGAGCAACGCCGCGUGAGUGAUGAAGGCCUUCGGGUUGUAAAACUCUGUCUUGCAAGAAUAAGGCUGCAGGGUAAACAAUCCUGCAGCUUGACUGUAUUGCAGGAGGAAGACACGGCUAACUCUGUGCCAGCAGCCGCGGUAAUACAGAGGUGUCAAGCGUUGUCCGGAAUUACUGGGCGUAAAGGGCGCGUAGGUGGGUGAGUAAGUCGGUUGUGAAAUCAUCGGGCUUAACCCGGUAACUGCAAUCGAAACUACUUGUCUUGAGUGCAGAAGAGGAGAGUGGAAUUCCCAGUGUAGCGGUGAAAUGCGUAGAUAUUGGGAGGAACACCAGUGGCGAGGGCGGCUCUCUGGUCUGUAACUGACACUGAAGCGCGAAAGCUAGGGGAGCAAACGGGAUUAGAUACCCCGGUAGUCCUAGCCGUAAACGAUGAGCACUAGGUGUAGGAGGUAUCGACCCCUCCUGUGCCGCAGCUAACGCACUAAGUGCUCCGCCUGGGGACUACGGCCGCAAGGCUGAAACUCAAAGGAAUUGACGGGGGCCCGCACAAGCGGUGGAGUAUGUGGUUUAAUUCGACGCAACGCGAAGAACCUUACCUGGGCUUGACAUCCCUUGACACCUGGUGAAAGCCAGGCUUCCCGCAAGGGACAAGGAGACAGGUGCUGCAUGGCUGUCGUCAGCUCGUGUCGUGAGAUGUUGGGUUAAGUCCCGCAACGAGCGCAACCCCUACUGUUAGUUGCCAUCGGGUCAUGCCGGGCACUCUAACGGAACUGCCGGUGUUAAACCGGAGGAAGGUGGGGAUGACGUCAAGUCCUCAUGGCCUUUAUGCCCAGGGCCACACACGUACUACAAUGGCCGGUACAGAGGGUUGCAACACCGCAAGGUGGAGCCAAUCCCACAAAGCCGGCCCCAGUUCAGAUUGGAGGCUGCAACUCGCCUCCAUGAAGGUGGAAUCGCUAGUAAUCGCGGAUCAGCAUGCCGCGGUGAAUACGUUCCCGGGCCUUGUACACACCGCCCGUCACGCCACGAAAGCUGAUUGUACCUAAAACCGUUGAGCUAACCCGCAAGGGAGGCAGAUGUCUAAGGUAUUUUUGGUGAUUGGGGCGAAGUCGGAACAAGGUA